UGCAGAACAUGAUAUCAUCAAAGAAAAAGAACGAAGUUGAAAAGAACGGAGAAAUAGUGCAGAGCAAAAAGACAUCUGUGGCUGUGUAAUUUGUCAUCAUUUUUGUGCACUCUUGGAUUGCAGAACAUGAUAUCAUCAAAGAAAAAGAACGAAGUUGAAAAGAACGGAGAAAUAGUGCAGAGCAAAAAGACAUCUGUGGCUGUGUAAUUUGUCAUCAUUUUUGUGCACUCUUGGAUUGCAGAACAUGAUAUCAUCAAAGAAAAAAGAAAGUUGAAAAGAACGGAGAAAUAGUGCAGAGCAAAAAGACAUCUGUGGCUGUGUAAUUUGUCAUCAUUUUUGUGCACUCUUGGAUUGCAGAACAUGAUAUCAUGAAAGAAAAAGAACGAAGAUGAAAAGAACGGAGAAAUAGUGCAGAGCAAAAAGACAUCUGUGGCUGUGUAAUUUGUCAUCAUUUUUGUGCACUCUUGGAUUGCAGAACAUGAUAUCAUCAAAGAAAAAGAACGAAGUUGAAAGAAACGGAGAAAUAGUGCAGAGCAAAAAGACAUCUGUGGCUGUGUAAUUUGUCAUCAUUUUUGUGCACUCUUGGAUUGCAGAACAUGAUAUCAUCAAAGAAAAAGAACGAAGUUGAAAAGAACGGAGAAAUAGUGCAGAGCAAAAAGACAUCUGUGGCUGGUAAUUCUU